GGUUUUCAGUCCCUGCCUGAUUCCGUGGGUUUUCCCCAGAAUAUUCUUCUGGGCUUUUCCUCCCACCUCUAAAUAGGCACUUCAGCCACACAAGCACUUCCGCUGCCGAAAUCUGUGCUCACAUACCUUUACACGCAUAGCGCACACAUCGCUGUACAAAUCCUAUGGCAUCCGCUACUUCCGGCCAACACACAGUCCGUGGCACGCACUUUCGGCCACUUCGCAAACUCGGGUUUUUAGAUCGGUCGCAUUCGGUUGAAAUUCGCUAGUUUCCUAUUGGCCCAAUCCCUUAGAAUACGUCAUCAUCGGAAAGAAGAAGACCUUCGGCAUCUUUCGGCUUUAGUGCUUGAAAAUCGAUCAAUGGCUUCCACUUGAUCGCCAAGUUUACAUUUUUCCGACCGUCAAAAUUCACAUUUUGAGAGGACGAAUCGUAAAGCACUAAGAUUUUGCCACUGCACUGAUUUUAUGACCGUACGCAGAAGUCGCUACAGAUCUGUUCGUGGGUAAACUUCAUCAAUUCCUCAGUCCACGAUUCAUCCUCCAUGGAUAGCAAAGGCGAUGAACCAGACUUUGGACGACAGGAAACGAAUCAUAUGUCUACUCCAUUAAUUAUAGGGAUGAAGAAGAGGAGUGGGAUUUUCCACUUUUGACAGAUCUAAAGAAAAAGGAACUUAUCAUACUGGACACUCGGUAAUUGUUAAAAGUUCAACAGUUAGUCUUUGUGUUGUGGAUGGAGCUUCAGUAAUGAAGUAAAGAAGUGGCGACUUAAA
rnacentral:lncRNA from 1 species